rnacentral:lncRNA from 1 species
GUUUGGUUAGAGCCUCAUAAGUAUAUUUAAGAUAAGUUAAAUACUAAAAAUGGCUUUUAACAAAUUAUCUGAAAGACAAAUUAUAUCACAUAUUUAGCACUAUGUUUCAGGCACUGUUCUAAACACAUUAUAAAUAUGAAAUAAUUGAAUCCCUUUUAGGUAUUGUUUUCAUCAUUAUACAGAUGACAGAACUAAGGCACAGAGAGGCAAAGUAAUUCACCCAAAGUCACACAGCCAAAUUACAUGAGGAGACGACAAGACAACCAGAUGAACAGCAGAACGACAUGGCAGAGAAAGAGAAGAGGAAUCUCUGAAUGCCAAGAGGAGUUCUGCUGGGGUGGUCAGACAGGAGUUCAGCAGCUGGAUGGCCAAACUCCAGGGGAAGAUCAUCUUCCCACUCCAUCCCCACUUCCGGCUCCCCAUCCAUCCCACUGAGAGCCACCUCCACUGCUCAAUAAAACCCUUGCAUUCAUC